AUUGAACGCUGGCGGCAGGCCUAACACAUGCAAGUCGAGCGGACGAAGGGAGCUUUCUCCUGGCUUCAGCGGCGGACGGGUGAGUAAUGCCUAGGAAUCUGCCUGGUAGUGGGGGAUAACGUCCGGAAACGGGCGCUAAUACCGCAUACGUCCUGAUGGUGAAAGUGGGGGAUCUUCGGACCACACGCGAUCAGCUGAGCCUAGGUCGGAUUAGCUAGUUGGUGGGGUAAAGGCUUACCAAGGCGACGAUCCGUAACUGGUCUGAGAGGAUGAUCAGUCACACUGGAACUGAGACACGGUCCAGACUCCUACGGGAGGCAGCAGUGGGGAAUAUUGGACAAUGGGCGAAAGCCUGAUCCAGCCAUGCCGCGUGUGUGAAGAAGGUCUUCGGAUUGUAAAGCACUGUAAGUUGGGAGGAAGGGCAGUAAGUUAAUACCUUGCUGUUUUGACGUUACCAACAGAAUAAGCACCGGCUAACUACGUG
rnacentral:rRNA from 1 species